rnacentral:rRNA from 1 species
GUGGGGAAUAUUGGACAAUGGGCGAAAGCCUGAUCCAGCCAUGCCGCGUGAGUGAUGAAGGCCUUAGGGUUGUAAAGCUCUUUCAGUAGGGAAGAUAAUGACGGUACCUACAGAAGAAGCCCCGGCUAACUUCGUGCCAGCAGCCGCGGUAAUACGAAGGGGGCUAGCGUUGUUCGGAUUUACUGGGCGUAAAGCGCACGUAGGCGGAUUGGUCAGUUAGAGGUGAAAUCCUGGAGCUCAACUCCAGAACUGCCUUUAAUACUGCCAGUCUAGAGUCCAGAAGAGGUGAGUGGAACUCCUAGUGUAGAGGUGGAAUUCGUAGAUAUUAGGAAGAACACCAGUGGCGAAGGCGGCUCACUGGUCCGGUACUGACGCUGAGGUGCGAAAGCGUGGGGAGCAAACAGGAUUAGAAACCCCAGUAGUCC